rnacentral:rRNA from 1 species
CAACCUGCCUUAAGGAUGGGGAUAACAGACGGAAACGACUGCUAAUACCGAAUACGUUCUAAGCAUCGCAUGAUGCAUAGAAGAAAGGGUGGCCUCUACAAGAAAGCUAUCGCCUUAAGAGGGGUUUGCGACUGAUUAGGUAGUUGGUGAGGUAACGGCUCACCAAGCCGACGAUCAGUAGCCGGUCUGAGAGGAUGAACGGCCACACUGGAACUGAGACACGGUCCAG